rnacentral:rRNA from 1 species
AGAGUUUGAUCCUGGCUCAGGACGAACGCUGGCGGCGUGCCUAACACAUGCAAGUCGAACGGAACUGUUUUGAAAGAUUUCUUCGGAAUGAAUUUGAUUUAGUUUAGUGGCGGACGGGUGAGUAACGCGUGAGUAACCUGCCUUCAAGAGGGGGAUAACAUUCUGAAAAGAAUGCUAAUACCGCAUGACAUAUCGGAACCACAUGGUUUUGAUAUCAAAGAUUUUAUCGCUUGAAGAUGGACUCGCGUCCGAUUAGUUAGUUGGUGAGGUAACGGCUCACCAAGACCGCGAUCGGUAGCCGGACUGAGAGGUUGAACGGCCACAUUGGGACUGAGACACGGCCCAGACUCCUACGGGAGGCAGCAGUGGGGGAUAUUGCGCAAUGGGGGCAACCCUGACGCAGCAACGCCGCGUGAAGGAUGAAGGUUUUCGGAUUGUAAACUUCUUUUAUUAAGGACGAAACUUGACGGUACUUAAUGAAUAAGCUCCGGCUAACUACGUGCCAGCAGCCGCGGUAAUACGUAGGGAGCAAGCGUUGUCCGGAUUUACUGGGUGUAAAGGGUGCGUAGGCGGCUUUGCAAGUCAGAUGUGAAAUCUAUGGGCUCAACCCAUAAACUGCAUUUGAAACUGUAGAGCUUGAGUGAAGUAGAGGCAGGCGGAAUUCCCCGUGUAGCGGUGAAAUGCGUAGAGAUUGGGAGGAACACCAGUGGCGAAGGCGGCCUGCUGGGCUUUAACUGACGCUGAGGCACGAAAGCGUGGGUAGCAAACAGGAUUAGAUACCCUGGUAGUCCACGCUGUAAACG